rnacentral:misc_RNA from 1 species
UUUAAAGCUCAAAGUAAAAAUUUUUAUUUUAUAAAUUCAUCAAGUUAACAACUAUCAUUGUCCGUGCAAUUUCUUAAUUACAAACUCUUCUAGUUUCCAGCUGCCAUUAUAGUAGGGAACAUAUGUUAUCAAAUAUAAUGACCAACCGAUCACCUCUGGUUCUUGAAGGACUGCAGAAAAUAUCACAUGCAAUUAGAGCAGCAAACCAAAACAUUUCCACUAUCAUAAAUAAAACUACUAUGUUGCUUUUCAAGAAUUGGAACAUGUAAGAUGCCAUUGGGAAAAAAAAAAUAGUUUGGAAAAAAAAAACUGUUCUGUUCUUUUGAUAUUCUUGUAACUAAAACAUGUCAAACCUUAAUUUUAAAUCAACUUUUAUUACUCUAAUACUCUAAAUGCUCAUUUGGCAUUGUGGUUUAGGAGCCAAAAAGUGCUUUUAGAAAAAGCACCAUUUUAGAUGAUAGCUCCAAUAGGAUGCUAAACAGACCUUAAUUAAUAUAUUUUUUAAAAAAUGUUUUUUCUCAAUAGUAAUGCCAAACAAACCCCAUAUAACAGCAACUCACCUCCAUGUUCUUGGAGAAAUCUUUCAUCUGCUCAGCAAGUUCUUGCCUUUUUUUCUCAGCAAUGUUUGAAAUAUCCUCCAUCUUCCUAGAUGUUCUCACUGCAAACCUCUGAAAUGCAGGACUGUUAGCUAGACCAUUCACCACAAGCUCAUUAACGACAUAAGAUAUUACUCUGUGCAUGAAAUUUCCACCCGCCAUGGCCCUUUUAUUCGAUUCUUAUCACCUCUAUCAAACAGUUGAAUUACACAGAAACCAAGUAGAUAUAAAUCACUACUAAGAACGACCCUGUACAAAUGAAAAUAGAAUCUUUAUAAUUUACUUGUAAAUUCUUUACACCCUUACAUGAAUCAAACACAGAACCCUACAAAUCGGUUCACAAGAGAGAGAAAGAAAUCUAUAAAGCAACCCUAGUGAUGAUUAAAUUUAGGGUAUCCAUAAAUUACACAGCAAAAUUGAAACGCUAGAAUAUACUUAAUUCAUAAAUCGAAAGAGAUUAGGAAAAUCGCGUGUGGUACUUCUACCUGCGAACAGAUGACACGACUGUCUGUUCCGGAAUCUACCCG